rnacentral:rRNA from 1 species
AGCGAACGCUGGCGGCAGGCCUAACACAUGCAAGUCGAACGGAUCCUUCGGGAUUAGUGGCGGACGGGUGAGUAACACGUGGGAACGUGCCCUUUGGUUCGGAACAACUCAGGGAAACUUGAGCUAAUACCGGAUGUGCCCUUCGGGGGAAAGAUUUAUCGCCAUUGGAGCGGCCCGCGUCUGAUUAGCUAGUUGGUGAGGUAACGGCCCACCAAGGCGACGAUCAGUAGCUGGUCUGAGAGGAUGAUCAGCCACACUGGGACUGAGACACGGCCCAGACUCCUACGGGAGGCAGCAGUGGGGAAUCUUGCGCAAUGGGCGAAAGCCUGACGCAGCCAUGCCGCGUGAAAGAUGAAGGUCUUAGGAUUGUAAAAUUCUUUCAGCGGGGACGAUAAUGACGGUACCCGCAGAAGAAGCUCCGGCUAACUCCGUG